GAGCUGUCGCUAUGACAACAAAAAAAUAAUGACAUAGCACAGCUAAGGUUUCUCUUUUGUUUGUUUAUUUAUUUAUUUCAUUAUUUCAGACACCGAAAGCGGUCAGUUCGGUAUCAGGACACGUUAAGUGUCGUCUUUUGGAUCUUCCCUGGUGAUAGUAAUGUGGAGAAAAAUCAGCGGCUGUAUUUAUUAGCCAGUAUUGCUAGUAGCUAACGAGACACGCUCGAGAGGCUAAAACCGUGUAGCCUCGCUAGCAUUGAAAACGUCAGCGGUGAAUAAAUGUGUUUGUUUAUAUCCAGCUGGAGUCAUAUAAACACCCCUAAGAAUGAUUAUAUUCAGUUUUUGCUCAGUCUGUGAUGUGAGAGUUAUAUAAGACUGCAGAUGAACUUCUCUAUCCUGGACAUUUUCAUUUUAUUUAUUUACUUUUUCCUCCUAAAAGUUACUUUCUCCACAGUUAAACCUCUCUAUAUUAAAAUAAUUGUGUUUUGUGUCCGAUGAUUCAUGUGCUAAUUUACUCCCAUUUCCACAUGAUAUUCCCUUGUGGAGUUGAGAGCGGUUUUCUUUGUGUCCUGCCGUGACGUCACAGGGAGGACCAUGUUGUUGCUGGUGCGGUUACAGGAUCCUUAUUCGGACGGGAUUAGUUUAUCAGCAGGAUGAUGCGGUGCUAAAACUUCUCACAAGGACCUUUUUUUUUUACUACACAUAGUUUUCUGUCUCCCCCUCAGCAGGUCGUUGGCUCAAGAACGAGAACCCGGAAGCGAAGAUGACUCAGAUGGACCUCCUGGUGACGAACGUGGCCGAGCUUUUGGCUACGGCCGUGCACGAGGUCCUGCGCCUGAUGGGUCAGGCCGUGUCCGAAUACCGAGACGAGUCGGCCAGGAUUCGGCAGGAGAACCAGAAGCUUCAGCGCACGCUCGAGGAGCUCCAGAAGAGGCUGCAGAUAUCAGACGCAGUGCAGCAGGUCUCGUCGUCUGUGGCUGCAGAAGAGCCGCUCUACGAGUCUCACCAAGCGCACGUGCUGGACCGGCAUUCAGGCCGAGAGCCACUGGAGACAGAAGAGCACGAGGACACAGAUUCAUUCGAGCUGUCCUUCGAGGAGGACAAACCGAGCACGCUGCUCCAGAGACCGGAAACACGAGAAUCCAACGACGCGUGCGACUUUUCUCAUAAAAGGAGGAGGAGCUUCUCGAGCCUGAGGAGCCGAUCGGCUUCACCCGACGUCGCCGAUGCGCCAGGGAUCUUAAACACUAUCAAAACAGAAGCAGAGUUUCCGGAGUGUUCCGUAUCAAAACAGACUGAAAACACGAUCAUGGGCACACACCUCCUCCUGCCCUAUCAUCCCAUCCACGGUAACCCCUCCCACGUGUCCCGGGACUCGUCCACGCCGCCCCACGUGCACGUCCGAGCUGAGCACGCGGUGGAUGUCACCGGUGGUCUGUUCGGCGUCACUGUGCGGAGAGAGAACUCGCACGCGUGUCACGUGUGUGGCAAGUCUUUCGCGACGGCCUCCAGCCUGGGCGCACACUUCGUCUGCCACUCGGGAGAAAGACCCUUCGCCUGCGAGCGCUGCAAGUUCCGGUUCAGCCGUUUAGCCGAUCUGAAGAAACACGAGCGCAUCCACACGGGGGAGAAGCCGUACAACUGCACACUCUGUGGGAGGAGGUUUAACCGCACGGAGAAUCUCAGACGCCACCUGAGGAAGGUCCACCAUGGAGCUCUGCUUUAGCCACAAGGACUCACUGAAAAAACUUGCAUUUUAUUUUUUAUUUAUACACCACACUCCAACGCUUUAAUAAAAAACCCUCACACAGCAUGCACACUGGAACCAGAACCAGACCACUGAUGCCCACCUUCGCUCUGUGUGCGUGUGUGGAGUUUGCACGUUCUCCCUGUGCCUCAGGGGUUUCCUUUAGGUUCUCUGGUUUCCUCCCCCAGUCCAAAGACCUGUGUUGUAGUCUGACUGGCCUCUCUAGACUGUCCAUUGUAAGUGUGUGUGUGUGUGAGGGAGAGAGAUUUGCUUUGCUAUUGGUUGGUACCCCAUCUAGAAUGUCCCCCACCUUGUGCCCCAAGUCCCCUGGGACUCGAAAAAUGAUAAAAGAUGGAUGGCAGCAGAGGCAGUUUGUGUGACUCGACUGCCAGCGUUUAGAUUUUGUUUAUCAGAAAAAGUUAAACAUCCAAAACUAACAAAGUCAUCAUUAUCAUCUAGCUACACUGAAACCUUCAAAUAUCAGCAUUAAAAUACUCAAUAAACUCUUAACACACUGCCUUUUACAGUCAGCACUCAGUGUUGGAGUCUUUAUGGUUUUUUUUCCUCCCUCAUUUUCUCCCAGUUUGGUUCUGGUCAGUUCCCAGCUACCUGCCUGCUCUCCUCUAGCACCAGUGAAGUCUUAACACGUGUUGCGUCCCUGUGCGGCGUAACACACUCAGAGGAGAGCAAUCUACCUUCUUCCUCAUACCUCAACUCACUGACACCUGAUUGGCUCAUGUCACUGUGAUUGACAGGAGAGAGAGAGAGAGAGCGCAGCUGUGUGUGUGUGUGUGAGAGAGAGAGCAGCUGUGUGUGUGUGUGUGAGAGAGAGAGCAGCUGUGUGUGUGUGUGUGUGAGAGAGAGAGCAGCUAUGUGUGUGUGUGUGAGAGAGAGCGCAGCUGUGUGUGUGUGUGUGAGAGAGAGCAGCUGUGUGUGUGUGUGUGUGUGAGAGAGAGAGCAGCUCUGUGUGUGUGUGUGUGUGAGAGAGAGAGAGAGUGCAGCUGUGUGUGUGUGUGUGUGUGAGAGAGAGAGGCAGUGUGUGUGUUUGUGUGAGAGCGAGAGAGAGCGCGCAGCUGAGUGUGUGUGAGAGAGAGAGCAGCAGUGUGUGUGUGAGAGAGCAGCUGUGUGCGUGUGUGUGUGAGAGAGAGAGAGAGAGAGAGAGAGAGAGAGAGCGCAGCUGUGUGAGAGAGAGAGAGAGAGAGCAGCAGUGUGUGUGUGUGUGUGUGUGAGAGAGAGAGAGAGAGAGAGAGCGGAUGUGUGUGUGUGUGUGUGUGUGUGAGAGAGAGCGAGAGCGCAGCUGUGUGUGUGAGAGAGCAAGAGAGAGAGCACAGCUGUGUGUGUGUGUGUGAGAGAGAGAGAGAGAGUGCAGCUGUGUGUGUGUGUGAGAGAGAAAGAGGCAGUGUGUGUGUUUGUGUGAGAGCGAGAGAGAGCGCGCAGCUGUGUGUGAGAGAGAGAGAGAGAGAGAGAGAGCGCAGCUGUGUGUGAGAGAGAGAGAGAGAGCAGCAGUGUGUGUGUGUGAGAGAGAGAGCAGCUGUGUGCGUGUGUGAGAGAGAGCAGCUGUGUGCGUGUGUGAGAGAGAGAGCAGCUGUGUGCGUGUGUGAGAGAGAGAGCAGCUGUGUGCGUGUGUGAGAGAGAGAGCAGCUGUGUGCGUGUGUGAGAGAGAGAGCAGCUGUGUGCGUGUGUGAGAGAGAGCAGCUGUGUGCGUGUGUGAGAGAGAGCAGCUGUGUGCGUGUGUGUGAGAGAGAGAGAGCAGCUGUGUGCGUGUGUGUGAGAGAGAGCAGCUGUGUGCGUGUGUGUGAGAGAGAGAGCAGCAGUGUGUGUGUGAGAGAGAGAGAGAGCAGCAGUGUGUGUGAGAGAGAGAGCGAGCAGCUGUGUGUGUGUGUGAGAGAGAGAGCGAGCAGCUGUGUGUGUGUGAGAGAGAGAGAGAGAGAGCAGCUGUGUGUGUGUGUGAGAGAGAGAGCAGCUGUGUGCGUGUGUGUGAGAGAGAGAGCAGCUGUGUGCGUGUGUGUGAGAGAGAGCAGCUGUGUGCGUGUGUGUGAGAGAGAGAGCAGCUGUGUGUGUGUGUGAGAGAGAGAGCAGCUAUGUGCGUGUGUGUGAGAGAGAGAGCAGCUGUGUGCGUGUGUGUGAGAGAGAGAGCAGCUGUGUGCGUGUGUGUGAGAGAGAGCAGCUGUGUGCGUGUGUGUGAGAGAGAGAGCAGCUGUGUGCGUGUGUGUGAGAGAGAGAAAGCAGCUGUGUGCGUGUGUGAGAGAGAGAGCAGCAGUCUGUGUGUGAGAGAGAGAGAGAGAGAGAGAGCAGCAGUGUGUGUGAGAGAGAGAGAGAGCAGCAGUGUGUGUGAGAGAGAGAGAGAGAGAGCAGCUGUGUGUGUGAGAGAGAGAGAGAGAGCAGCAGUGUGUGAGAGAGAGAGAGAGCAGCAGUGUGUGUGUGAGAGAGAGAGAGAGCGCAGCUGUGUGUGUGAGAGAGAGAGAGAGAGAGAGAGAGCGCAGCUGUGUGUGUGUGAGAGAGAGAGAGAGCGCAGCUGUGUGUGUGUGAGAGAGAGAGAGAGCGCAGCUGUGUGUGUGUGAGAGAGAGAUUCCUCAUAAAGUGAACACACUUCUGUUGCUCCAAUCAGGAGCCUCCGUGUCAGCGUUACUCCCCUAAGCUGCGAGCUGAUUGGUUGGGAGAUAAAGGUUGAGCUCUGACUAUUUUAUUAGCUAAAACAGCGAGAACUGAAAUAUAAUACUGCUCUUAUUUAUGAACCAAUCCAGUCUAACAUCACUUUGUUUAUCUACACACCAUCCUGUAGUUGAAUUAAACUGGUUUUGUUUGAA